rnacentral:rRNA from 1 species
AUGCAGCACGAGGUGCGCUGGGUGGCCAUCUCGACAAACUAUCACGACGCUCUUGGUGUGAAUAUGACCAAGGAAGAAGCGCGGAGGACGGACAUUACCUUGGAGAGGCACGAGUACUUGGCGGUGUGUCCAAAUUGGUGUUAUGGAAAAGACGAGUCCUGGGCAGCAUUGGUGGAUUUGUGGUGUGAUGAGGAUGGAGCUUGGGCGGCUACGAGCAUCAAAAACAAGGCUAACCGAGGGAGGGAGGGAGUACAUGCUCAGGGAAACCGAAAUCACUUUCUUCACAAGACACUUGAGGAGGAGAAACUGAAGCAGCCGCUCUCACACAUGGAGGCGUGGGAGAUCGCCCAUACACGGAGGAAGCCCAAGCCUGGCGAGGCCAAGUACUACGGCAAGACCGCGGAGUAUAAGAAGGCCUACUCCGAGGGGUAUCUGAGUUUACAUCCUGGCACACCUGACCCCAUUGCGGCGGAUCUGGAUGAGAGGGUGGUGGUGGGCAUGGGGCCCAAGAAGCAUGGUCGGCAGCCGAUUCUGGAUGUUGUGAUCACUCCUUCUAUCUCCUACACACAGCUCCGAGCUACCAACCCGAGCUUGUGCCUGCGCACGAGCACGCCCAUGACCAGUGCGCAGUCACAGUCACUACUAGGAAAAGGCUAA